rnacentral:rRNA from 1 species
GACGAACGCUGGCGGCGUGCUUAACACAUGCAAGUCGAACGGAAAGGCCCUGCUUUUGCGGGGUGCUCGAGUAGCGAACGGGUGAGUAACAAGUGAGUAACCUGCCCUUGACUUUGGGAUAACUUCAGGAAACUGGGGCUAAUACCGGAUAGGAGCUCCUGCUGCAUGGUGGGGGUUGGAAAGUUUGGGCGGUUGGGGAUGGACUCGCGGCUUAUCAGCUUGUUGGUGGGGUAGUGGCUUACCAAGGCUUUGACGGGUAGCCGGCCUGAGGGGGUGACCGGCCACAUUGGGACUGAGAUACGGCCCAGACUCCUACGGGAGGCAGCAGUGGGGAAUAUUGCACAAUGGGCGGAAGCCUGAGGCAGCAACGCCGCGUGCGGGAUGACGGCCUUCGGGUUGUAAACCGCUUUCGCCUGUGACGAAGCGUGAGUGACGGUAAUGGGUAAAGAAGCACCGGCUAACUACGUG